AGUGAACGCUGGCGAUAGGCCUAACACAUGCAAGUCGAACGGCAGCACAGUAAGAGCUUGCUCUUACGGGUGGCGAGUGGCGGACGGGUGAUGAAUACAUCGGAAUCUACUUUUUCGUGGGGGAUAACGUAGGGAAACUUACGCUAAUACCGCAUACGACCUACGGGUGAAAGCAGGGGAUCUUCGGACCUUGCGCGAUUGAAUGAGCCGAUGUCGGAUUAGCUAGUUGGCGGGGUAAAGGCCCACCAAGGCGGCGAUCCGUAGCUGGUCUGAGAGGAUGAUCAGCCACACUGGAACUGAGACACGGUCCAGACUCCUACGGGAGGCAGCAGUGGGGAAUAUUGGACAAUGGGCGCAAGCCUGAUCCAGCCAUACCGCGUGGGUGAAGAAGGCCUUCGGGUUGUAAAGCCCUUUUGUUGGGAAAGAAAAGCAGCAGGUUAAUACCCCGCUGUUCUGACGGUACCCAAAGAAUAAGCACCGGCUAACUUCGUG
rnacentral:rRNA from 1 species